rnacentral:rRNA from 1 species
UAGGGAAUCUUCGGCAAUGGACGAAAGUCUGACCGAGCAACGCCGCGUGAGUGAAGAAGGUUUUCGGAUCGUAAAACUCUGUUGUUAGAGAAGAACAAGGACGUUAGUAACUGAACGUCCCCUGACGGUAUCUAACCAGAAAGCCACGGCUAACUACGUGCCAGCAGCCGCGGUAAUACGUAGGUGGCAAGCGUUGUCCGGAUUUAUUGGGCGUAAAGCGAGCGCAGGCGGUUUCUUAAGUCUGAUGUGAAAGCCCCCGGCUCAACCGGGGAGGGUCAUUGGAAACUGGGAGACUGGAGUGCAGAAGAGGAGAGUGGAAUUCCAUGUGUAGCGGGGAAAUGCGUAGAUAUAUGGAGGAACACCAGUGGCGAAGGCGGCUCUCUGGUCUGUAACUGACGCUGAGGCUCGAAAGCGUGGGGAGCAAACAGG